rnacentral:rRNA from 1 species
UCCCUGGUCAGGAGAACGCUGGCGGCAUGAUUAACAAUGCAAGUCGAACGGGAAAGUGGUGUUCCAGUGGCGAAACGGUGAGUCGUAACGCGCGUGAAGAGAACCUGCACCUUGGAGGGGAACAACAAAUGAAACGGUUGCUAAACGCCCCGUAGGCUGAGGAGCACAAGGAGAAAUCCGCCCAAGGAGGGCUCGCGUCUGAUAGGCUGUACGUUGUGAGGCAUAGCUUACCAGGCGAUGAUCAGUAGACUGCGUCAGAGAGGAUGAUCAGCACACUGGGACUGAGACACGGGCCCAGAAUCCUACGGGAGACGGACAGCAUGGGGGAAUUUUUCCGCAAUGGGCGACGAAGCCUGACGAGCAAUGCCGCGUGGAGGUGGAAGGACUACGGAGUCGUAACUUCUUUUCUCGGAGAAGAAACAAUGACGGUAUCUGAGGAAUAAGCAAUCGGCUAAAACUCUGGCCAGCAGCCGCGGUAGGACAGAUGGUGCAAGCGUUAUCCGGAUGACUUGGCGUAAAGCGUCUGUAGGUGGCUUUUCAAGUCGCCGUCAAAUCCCAGGGCUUCAACCUGGACAGGGCGGUGCAACUACCAAGUGGAGUACGGUAGGGGCAGAGGGAUAUUUCCGUGGAGCGGUUGAGAAAUGCAUUGAGAUCGGAAAGAACACCACGCGAAAGCACUCUGCUGGGCCGACACUGACACUGAGAGACGAAAGAUAGGGGAAUAUAGGGAGCACAUGGGAUAGAGACCCCAGUAGGCCUCAGCCGCGUAAACGAUGGAACUAGGUGCGCUGUGCGACUCGACCCGUGCAGUGCUGUUGUAAGCUAACGCGUUAAGUAUCCCGCAUGGGAGUUACGUUAGCAAGAAUGAAACUCAAAGGAAUUGAACGGGGGGCCCGCACAAGCGAGUGGAGCAUGUGUUUAAUUCGAUGAAAAGCGAAAGAACCUUACCAGGGCUUGACAUGCCGCAGCGAAUCCUCUUGGGAGAGAGGUGACCCUCGGGUAACGCGGACAAAGGUGCGUGCAUGGCUGUCGUCAGCUCGUGCCCGUAAGGGUGUUGGGUUAAGUCUCGCAACGAGGCGCAACCCUCGUGUUUAGUGCCACUAUGCGUUCUGGAAACCUGAACAGACGCCGGUGUUAACCGGAGGAGGAGAGGAUGAGGCCAAGUCAUCAUGCCCUUAUGCCCUGGCGACACAGUGCUACAAUGGGCGGGACAAAGGGUUCGCGAUCUCGCGAGGCGUGAGCUAACUCCAAAAAACCCGUCCUCCAGAUUCGGAUUGCAGGCUGCAACUCGCCUGCAUGAAGCAAGGAAAAUCGCUAGUAUCGCCGGUCAGGCCAUACGGCGGUGAAUCCGUUCCCCGGGCCUUGUACACACCGCCCGUCAACUAUAGAGCUGGCCAGGUUGAAGUCAAUUACCCUGAACCGUAAGGAAGGGGAGGGGAUGCCUAAGGUAGGCUGCGAAUGGAGUGAAGUCGUAAUAACAAGGUAAGCCGUACUGGAAGGUGCGGCGG